GAGUUUGAUCAUGGCUCAGGACGAACGCUGGCGGCGUGCUUAACACAUGCAAGUCGAACGGAGCUAUUUAUUUCGGUAGAUAGCUUAGUGGCAAACGGGUGAGUAACGCGUAGGCAACCUGCCCUUAGGAUGGGGACAACGGCCCGAAAGGACCGCUAAUACCGAAUGGACUCUAACUUUCGCAUGAAAGAAAGAGGAAAGAUGGUGCAAGCCAUCGCCGAAGGAAGGGCCUGCGUCUGAUUAGCCAGUUGGUGAGGUAACGGCCCACCAAAGCGACGAUCAGUAGCCGGUCUGAGAGGAUGAACGGCCACAAUGGGACUGAGACACGGCCCAUACUCCUACGGGAGGCAGCAGUGGGGAAUCUUCCGCAAUGGGCGAAAGCCUGACGGAGCAACGCCGCGUGAGUGAAGAAGGUCUUCGGAUCGUAAAGCUCUGUUGUUGGGGACGAAAGGGAAGGGGAGGAAAUGCCCUUUUAAGACG
rnacentral:rRNA from 1 species